AGAGUUUGAUCAUGGCUCAGAUUGAACGCUGGCGGAAUGCUUUACACAUGCAAGUCGAACGAUGAACCUUAGCUUGCUAAGGGGAUUAGUGGCGAACGGGUGAGUAAUAUAUCGGAACGUGCCUUGUAAUGGGGGAUAACUAGUCGAAAGAUUAGCUAAUACCGCAUACGCCCUGAGGGGGAAAGUAGGGGAUCUUCGGACCUUACGUUAUAAGAGCGGCCGAUAUCUGAUUAGCUAGUUGGUGGGGUAAUGGCCUACCAAGGCUUCGAUCAGUAGCUGGUCUGAGAGGACGACCAGCCACACUGGAACUGAGACACGGUCCAGACUCCUACGGGAGGCAGCAGUGGGGAAUUUUGGACAAUGGGCGCAAGCCUGAUCCAGCCAUUCCGCGUGAGUGAAGAAGGCCUUCGGGUUGUAAAGCUCUUUCGCAAGGGAAGAAAACUUACACAAUAACACUGUGUGAGGCUGACGGUACCUUGAUAAGAAGCACCGGCUAACUACGUGCCAGCAGCCGCGGUAAUACGUAGGGUGCGAGCGUUAAUCGGAAUUACUGGGCGUAAAGCGUGCGCAGGCGGUUUGGCAAGUCAGAUGUGAAAUCCCCGAGCUCAACUUGGGAACUGCGUUUGAAACUGCCAGACUAGAAUAUGUCAGAGGGGGGUAGAAUUCCACGUGUAGCAGUGAAAUGCGUAGAGAUGUGGAG
rnacentral:rRNA from 1 species